rnacentral:lncRNA from 1 species
UUUCUUUGGAUGUGACUUUCUUCUUUGCUUCCUUCUUUAGCUUCUUCAUCUCCUCAUCAGCAGCUUCCCCUUCCUUGAGGCGCUCCUUCUCAGCUCUCCUCAUUGCCUUCUUGUCUUUCCCACCACCCUUCUUCUGUUCAGGUGGGUUCUUCAGUAUGAAGGUUGUAAGCUUGUCCCUCAUAUCAACAUCUGAGACAAAACCACAGGCAGCACACUUCAGUGAAAUCAUCUGGGUCUUGGAGAUGAGGACCUCGGUCUCAGGGUUACCACAUCCAUAGCAUUGGACAUACUUCUUGAUGAAGUUCUCAAGGAGACCAGCCAGCUUAGCAGUAUCAUGUGCCCCAUUAACCAAAGAAAUUCCAGUCUUCUCAUCAAAUUUAGACUGUGCACCGAGCUCACAUCCAAAGUAUUUUGUCGUGUAGGAAGCAGGCCUGGCUAGGGCUUUUGCUAUAUCCACCAUGUUCACGAUAUUAGUUUUGAUGCCAUUGCCACGACCUUCUAUUUUGGUGAUCAUCCUGGGCAUCUUAUACCUAUAGAAGGCAUCAUCGCGGUUUGAGGCGCCAAUGUUUUGCAGAGCCAUCUUCGAUUAAUUUUCUUCUGCUGAGAUGAUAUCAGAAGCACCAAGAGCCAGAAGCAACAGUAGCCUUGUAUCCUUGAAGUGAAUCAGCAGAAACCAGUGUCCUCUGAGAGCUGCCAAAAGCUUGCAUAAAAUGACAAGGCUUCAGAUGCAUGCAGCAGGGCCUUCCAAGCGAGAGCUUGUGCCUUUUUCUCGUUGUCCGAGAAUAUUCUCCAAGUAAUCCAACUGAUCCCAAGUAAAGCAAGUCUUGUUCAGACAUAAAAGAAGCUCCAAACUUUAAGCCCUCCACUUUGUCAGAUUGCAGCAAAACUAAUGCUGCUUCCUACAUCAAAAGAAGUCAACAUUAGAUACCUUAUAAAUGUGCUUCAGUGGGCAAUGUUUCACAAUGACAGCAAGCAUAUGCUCAAAUGAUAAUGUAUCACAUAUCUGAUGGAUAUGGAACCACACUUCAACAAAUUUCUUAAAGCACAAAUCACUAGUUAGUCAGUUAUGAACAAACCAAACAAUCUAGUUAAUACUCCCUCCAAUUUCAUAUUGUAAGACCCUUUAGCUAUUCCGAGAUUCAUCUAUUGAUCAAUGUAUAUUAGUUGUAUUAUGUAUGGAUUCAUUAGUACCCAUAUGAAUUUACGCAGUGCUAAAAAGUCUUACAUUGUGAAAAGUAAGUAGUAUAACACACACUUGAAUGAUCAUGCGAGACAUAUUUACAAAUGAAUAACAGUAGUUCGUCCAAAAUAUCGUUGAAUAAUUGCAUUUUGUAGGAAGGAAAGAUGUAUAGCGACUGACAGCUGUAGUAGACCAGACAUAGUGACCCAUAGAGAUUCUACAAUUUCACAAUGCAGCACUUAUUACUCACUUGUUGCAUUAAGCAUGUACAGGAUUAAUGUGUCAUUUAGAAAAAAACUGUUGUAAUACCAAGCCUUUCACCAAUAUUAUAUAGGAUAAACACCUAAAAACCCUAAAGAGCAAACAACCAGCACAACCAUGUCCAUGGUAAGUGUGAGCAUAGCAAAUUCAACAAAGAUGACUGUCUCAGCAAAUAGAGAAAAUAGAAGUUUGCAGAGGGGCCAAGUAAAUGAGUAAAGAAGUAGACAUAAAUAAAAAAAUGAAACUAAAAAUAUUCCGAUUCUUUUGGGACUUAGCUGGCACACAUGAACUGACUGGAUAUAUACUUAGCAAAGUAAACAUCGACAUAACUAAACUCAUCCUAUCAGAUCGAUAACAUUGCAGCAUAAAUGAAUGCAAAAGGCAAGAGCACAAAUAUAUGACUUUGUAAGACUGCAAUAAUAGCACAUGGACUAACUGCAUGUGUUACUGUGGACUUUCAUUUUAUAAACUGCAAUUACUAUUCUUUUCAAGAUUUCAAGCAUCUUUUCUUAAUUUUGUUAUAAUACAACAUGGAUGGCUCCUUCACUGCACUGUUACCCUUUUCUUUAUUUACUGCUGUAUCGUGUUAACACAAGGACACCACACAUGGCUCUAGUCAACAGAGAGGAGACACCAACCAGGGACUAGUGAGAGAUCCACAGCACACUGCAUACACACAAACAAACAGCACUCUACAUCACACUGUAUACAACCCUUUUACCUCUGAAAAAAAUGCAUCAAGCUAGAUCUCACUUGCAUAUAUACAGUUACUAAGUUGCUGCACAAAUGCCUAGCCAAUAGAGAAGUAUAAUAUAUUAUCUCUAUAUAAAGUGAGGUGUGAAGGAUGUGGCUAACCAGAGAGGAUGGGGGCGGCGGAUGCGGGCGCCGGCGUCGGAGGCGGGGAAGGGGGCGGCGGCGGCGGCGUCGGGGGGCAGCGGGCGACAGCUGGGGGCGCCGGCGNNNNNNNNNNNNNNNNNNNNNNNNNNNNNNNNNNNNNNNNNNNNNNNNNNNNNNNNNNNNNNNNNNNNNNNNNNNNNNNNNNNNNNNNNNNNNNNNNNNNNNNNNNNNNNNNNNNNNNNNNNNNNNNNNNNNNNNNNNNNNNNNNNNNNNNNNNNNNNNNNNNNNNNNNNNNNNNNNNNNNNNNNNNNNNNNNNNNNNNNNNNNNNNNNNNNNNNNNNNNNNNNNNNCGACAGAUGGGGGCGCCGGCGGCGAGGGUGGGGGAGGGGAGCGACGAUCUGGUACGGGGGCGGCUUGAGGUGAGGAUUGGGAAGGGAAGGGGCGUCGGGUGGUGGCGGGGAGGUAAGGAUUCAGGAAACCCUAGAAUCGCAUUUAUAUACGGUGAUAGUUGGCGCCUGUCAGUCUCCUGCUAGUCUCCUGCUAGUACAAGAUAAACAAUUGACGGCUAAUAAGUAACAGGAAUUAACCUAUAAAUAAUUGGAAAUAAAACAUGUGUUUUUUAAUGUAAUCGAGUUAUUUAUAAAUUUUGGAUCAAUAUGAUCAAAGACCUGCAACUUGUCUUGCUCUAGAGUUAUGGAAACUUUUACAACUUCAAAGUAAGCGACGCGUUUAAGAUACCGGUUUCUACACCACAAACAAAGCACACUAGCAAAACAUACUAUAAGUCUAUUGAAAUAAUAUGCGGACCAUUUUUAAUGGAUUCUUGACAUUUUUAUAAAUUUAUGGUAAUUUGAAUGGACUAAAACAAAGAUCGGAUGAAUUUUUCUAUGAAUUUUACAAGAUUUUGUGUGUUUAAAACUAAACAAAAGUCCUAAAUAGAUUUAUUGCACUUUAGCGAGGGAACAUUGAUGUUAGUAAGAGGAUGCAAAGUGCCGACAAGUGGGCCCCGUCUGUCGGUGACAAGGGCACGGAUGGUCCACCGUGGACUGGGACCACGGUCGGGUCCACAACCAGUCCACGGGACAAAGCAAAAGGGACGACCAGCAGAUCAACUCAGCUGAUGGCGGGCGCAAUAGGCGGCCACGGGAACGGUGGCGUGACAACCAACAACGAGCUCCGGUGUGGCGACACAACCAUCUCAGCCGACGAUGUAGGAAAGAGGGGAGCGGUAGGGUAGUGAGAGUAAAGGAGAGAAGCAAGACGAUAGUCCAUAGGCGCACACGGCGAGCUCAAGAAGCAAUGGGUUCGGCGAUGACACUAGGCGCCCGGGGUGAGGCCAAGCGGAGCGAGUCCGGUGAUGGAGGUGGCACAAUGCGGCGCGUCGAUGCGGCAGCGGCGCAUGGGCAUGAGUGUGAGCGGGCGACACGAGAGAGACGAGAGGAAAUGAGUGCAAUGGACAGAGGGGGAGCGACGAUAGUUUUUUAUAGGCAUGGGAGUGGUUGCCUUGUCAGCGAGAUAGGAGGAAGUGGCGCCGAUGAACGUUGGGGGAUGGGAUGACCAAGUCCUCGUAGGGGCGAGGGGGAAAGAGAGUGGGUGGUGGUUGUUGGGGAGCGCGAUAGAGGUGUGGUACGGGCACAGACGAGGCAGCCAGCAGUUGGCGAGCCCAAGUCUGGUGGUGAGAGAAGGGAGACGACACUGAUUGUCGGUGACUCGAUGAUAGAAGGGAGGAGUGACAGACUUAGCGGUCUAAUGGGCUUCAUCCCAUGCCUGUCCCAAAGAGGAAGAGAGACGCGAGAGGGAAAGGAAGAGGGCUGGCCGACAGUUGGCUUCGGCUUGGCUCGACCUAGGGAGAGAGAGAGGAGAGGAGGGGAAAGGAAAGCGGGUCGGCGAGGUGGGAGUGGCCGGAUUCAGCUCACGGCUCGGGAAUAAAAAGAAAAAGGAGAGAAAGGGGUUUUAGUUAACUCCAAUUUCUGGAUUUAACUUAUUUAAAUUAUUUCCGGUGCACUGCAAAUUUACUUUAAACACGUUUGUGCCUGAAAAAAAAAUAAAUAAUCCCAACAAUCCCAACAUGUGACUUCCUGUUAAUUAGAGAAUUUUAAUUAGUGUUAACUCUAGAUUAAAAUUAAACAAUUUAUUUCAGUGAUUUAUUUUGAUCGAAUUUAGAUCAGGAGAAGGGAACUUUGAGGCAUUACAUGAAUGCAUGACCUUACACAAGAAAGGUCAUAUCGUGACGCUUAUCUGAUCAACCCUGAUUUACCCGAACAUGCUUUGAUUCUGAAGCGCUUCAACCGUGGCAACAAAGCGACAGAGAUGGAUACUACACCAUCCGUUUCAAAGUAUAACCAUAUCUCUUAUUAAAAUCUUAUACUAUACUAUAAAUAUUUUAAUAUUAUUCAUAAUACACUCCUAUCAAUCAUUUCUCGUUUUAUCCUUGCCUAGUUUAUUCUCAUUUUAUUCCGCAUUUUAUCCUAACCAAAUUUUUCACCAGCAUCCAUUUAUCAUACUAGGGGUUAAUAUUCUAUUUCUUAAAACCUAGUUAUUGUGAAAGUACAGAUGCUGACGGUAGUAAGCAUCUUACUACUAUUAUUACUACUAGUGGUAAACAGGUCGAUCACAUGUGACGUUGUUAUGCUCAUAAGACAAAAUCAUUUUUUAAGCAAAAAUUAAAUUUAUAGGUAAUUUUAGGAUUUCUUUACCGUAGUUUACUUUUUAGUAUUUCCAUUUAUAUCCUAAAUAUAACUAUAAAAAAGUUUUACACAUAAGUUAUUUUAUAUCACUAAAUAUAACUACGUAAGAGUUUUACACAAAUUAUUUAAUCGCUAGUACGGGAGUUCACCAAUUCCUGUAAAAAGCUAAAAAUUGCGGCUGCCCGACAAUAUAUGUAAUUGGCCCUGAAGUACAUGUUUCAUACACUGAAAACAGGAUCGACGAAAACAACCAUCUUGCAUCAUAUCAAGCACGUUUGCAUCCAGUAUUAAGUUUGGUAAACAAAUAUCCCCAACGAGAUAUAUGACACCACAUGGUCCGGGUCCCAGAGGACAGCCUGGGUUUAUUGGAACAUGACUCAUAAGAAACCACACACGAACAAACUCACUUGUAAGAAAAGCCACGCACGAACUGGAAACACAUGACGAAAAAGACAACUAUAGGCGAAAAUGCGAAAUGGAGAUGACUGGGGGAGAUUGGACGCAUCACUCUUCGUCGGAUUCGGAAUCCGCCUGCUGGAGCCAUUCCACGAACGGCUUGGCAUUCUUCACGACCUGGGACUCCUUGCCACCAGCAACAGAUUCGUUGAACCACUGAGUUAUCACUUCUUCAUCCAGCACAUCCCCAUCAUAGAGGGCCUUGAGAACAAUCGGCACCUCCUUCACAGCUUCGGGGCUAGCCUUGGCACCGAAGGCCACCAGGGCUAGCAGCAGGACCAUCUGGGAGGCUUCAUCAGGCACAGCAGCAGCGAGGAAUUUCUUCUUCUUCACAACCUCCUUGGCGAAUCCCUUGCCAAGGCCACCAAAGAGGGCAUCAAAGAGAGCAUUCAUAGCAUCCUGGGGCGGUAGAGCUGAGGAAGUCAUCAGACCCUUGAGCUGAGCAGCAGUGGCGCCCUUGGCAAAGUAAUCCUUCAACUCUUCAACCAGAUCAUUGUAAGGACUGCUCUUAGCCUCUUCAACCACAUGUUCUGUACUUCCGUUCGAGGCACCUUCCUUGUGUGAGGCCUCUUGCUUCUUCUUCUUCUCAGGUUCAUCAGUAGUGGACAGCAUUACCAUCUCAGCAGUUGCAGCGCUCAGUUGUUCCUGCAUGCGCUGUUUUGCAGCCUCCAGUGAAGUGUCAGUCUGCCACUGGACAUCGUCAUCAUCAUCCUCAUCUGCAGCAACAUCACCAUCAUGGCUGCGAGUUGGUGAAUUUGAAUGAUCCUCAUCAGAGCCAGCAGCAGCCUUCUUCUUCCCAGCACCGCUUUUGGUGGAAGUACUUUCUUUGGAUGUGACUUUCUUCUUUGCUUCCUUCUUUAGCUUCUUCAUCUCCUCAUCAGCAGCUUCCCCUUCCUUGAGGCGCUCCUUCUCAGCUCUCCUCAUUGCCUUCUUGUCUUUCCCACCACCCUUCUUCUGUUCAGGUGGGUUCUUCAGUAUGAAGGUUGUAAGCUUGUCCCUCAUAUCAACAUCUGAGACAAAACCACAGGCAGCACACUUCAGUGAAAUCAUCUGGGUCUUGGAGAUGAGGACCUCGGUCUCA